rnacentral:lncRNA from 1 species
UGGUGUUUAGGUUUAGGGUUGUUCCUUCUCUUUUUUUUUUUCCAAUUGUGAUCGCAGUUUAGUUAUAUCCAAGCCGAUACUGGGUUCUUUUCUUUCUUCUUCUUUUCUUUUGAGGGUUUGAGUUUCUUUUUUAAAAACAGAGCUCCGAUGAUGAGCAAAAGAGAAGAUAUAAUAUACCUUGAUGUCGUUCCAAUUUCUGAAGCUUUACAGCUUUGAAUGUGUGGAAUUGAAUACGAAACUCUGAGGAGCUAGCUUUGUAGUCUGUACGUUUUCUUGGGCUGAUUGUAAAAAUCUCUGUGAAUGAGAGUUUCCUUAUUAACUAUACUAAGUCAAGACGCUAGGGAGAUUGAUCAAGUGUUUUUAACCCAAUGCAGCAAUUUCUGGAACAAAAUAAUCAAAUUCCACCUGCUUCUCGAGACAUUGAAUACGUUUUUUUGGGUUAGUAUGCUCAAUUGCUAAUUUAAAGGAAAAAUGAACCAAUUUUCAUUUUUCGUUUUCAGCGAAGCAGACAGGUGCGAGGCAAGACUGGAUUGCUUGAAUCUCUAGCAUUUCAGGUUAGGGAUUAAUCUGCUAUUAGAAUAUACAAUUUUCUAGUGGCAGGGCCAGAUUUCUAAGCCCUUUCCGUUUGAUUUUGUACUGCCUAUUCAUUUUCCUGCUACUCAAGUCAUCACGGUAGAUGCGGAAAUUCAUAAUUUCAGAUACAAUCGUUAAAGCGAUCAAGUGAGAUGAUACAAAUGAUGCCUAUGUUCCACCGGAAAAGAUGUACCAUGGAUAAUAUGAAGUUAGCCUGAAUAUAGUUAAAAUCGGCAACUAGAGGCUACCUACUUGUGGCUUGUCUCUGUGAAUUGUCUCUGACCUUUGUCCUUUAUUGUUUGCUUGAAAUUAUAAAAGGUAGCCACGGUUUUCGGUACAUGCUCUGGUUAGAAAAUCAACAUCAUAUAUAAAUUUGUGGCAUCACAUGAUUGGUUAAUUACUUUUGAAAAGCAACAUUCAUGUUGGUCACGUAUAAAUUUGUGGCAUCACAUGAUUGGUUAAUUACUUUUGAAAAGCAACAUUCAUGGUGAUUCACUGUAUUCGGUUGAUGUUUAGGAUGUGGG